rnacentral:lncRNA from 1 species
AGGGUGAAAGAUUGUUAGUAAAAUCACCCCCAAGGUGGCCGGCCUUUGUAGUGUUUUAGAGAGAUAUUUCUUUUGCCUCUUUGUUGUUUUAAACACACAAAAACCCUAAGGAAUAAAUCUCUAUAAAGUUCCUUAUAUAGACAAAAAGAAACCUAGUCAACAACUUGACUAAAUAUCUCUCCCUUUCCACUUAAAGUGGCCAG